rnacentral:rRNA from 1 species
GCAGGGAAUUUUGCGCAAUGGGCGAAAGCCUGACGCAGCGACGCCGCGUGGGGGAAGAAGGCCUUCGGGUUGUAAACCCCUUUUCUGGGGGAAGAGCAAGGACGGUACCCCAGGAAUAAGCCUCGGCUAACUACGUGCCAGCAGCCGCGGUAAUACGUAGGAGGCAAGCGUUGUCCGGAUUUACUGGGCGUAAAGGGCGUGUAGGCGGUCUGGAAAGUCUCCGUUGAAAUCUUCCGGCUCAACUGGAAGGAGUGCGGGGAUACUACCAGACUAGAGGGCAGUAGAGGAGAGUGGAAUUCCCGGUGUAGUGGUGAAAUGCGUAGAUAUCGGGAGGAACACCAGUGGCGAAAGCGGCUCUCUGGGCUGUACCUGACGCUGAGGCGCGAAAGCGUGGGGAGCAAACCGGAUUAGAUACCCCAGUAGUCC